rnacentral:rRNA from 1 species
CCUACGGGGGGCGGCAGUGGGGAAUUUUGCGCAAUGGGCGAAAGCCUGACGCAGCAACGCCGCGUGAGUGAUGAAGGCCCUCGGGUCAUAAAGCUCUGUCGGGAGGGAAGAAAUGAUUGAGGGAUAAUACCCCUUGGUCUUGACGGUACCUCCGAAGGAAGCACCGGCUAACUCCGUGCCAGCAGCCCCGGUC